CCUACGGGAGGCAGCAGUGAGGAAUAUUGGUCAAUGGCCGGAAGGCUGAACCAGCCAUGCCGCGUGAAGGUCAGUGCCCUAUGGGCGUUAAACUUCUUUUGUGCGGGAGCAAGAAUGGGCACGUGGGGCCAGACGAGAGUACCGUACGAAUAAGCAGCGGCGAACUCCGGGCCAGAAGCCGCGGUAAUACGGGGGAUGCAAGCGUUAUCCGGAUUUAUUGGGUUUCAAGGGGGCGUAUGCUGUGAGGUAAGUCAGCGGUGAAAUGCCCCCGCUCAACGGGGUGAAGUGCCAUUGAUACUGCCUUGCUGGUCUGCGGCUGCCGUGGGAUGAAUGUGUGUUGUCGCGGUUCAAUGCCUAGAUCU
rnacentral:rRNA from 1 species